rnacentral:lncRNA from 1 species
GGUAAAUCCCGUAAAUGUUUUACAAUAUGGCGGAAUUCCAGAAUUUAUAAAAUUGUAUAAACAUGGAAGAAUAUGCAGAAUAUUUAUAGGUAAACGUGAGUAUUAAAGAUAUUAUGGUUGUACAAUGUAAAUAAUAAGGUAUUAUAAUAACUUCUUUCAGGAAUGACGUAAAUUUAAAGUAAAUUGUAACAUUUUUUGACUAUUAGUAGCACCCUGAUCAUCAUCUGUUGACUGAGUUCACUAAGUGCAUCUCACUUGAUAAAACUAACUGUUGAAAGGUUUUGUAGAUAAAUAUUUUGAGUGUGAAAUUUAUUAUACAUUUAUGAGUCCUGACCAAGGGCAGUUGUGAAAAAUGCAACUACAGGCCCUCUGGCAGGAAUCCAACCAGCUGCACCCUUACUUUUGUGUAUAUACAUGAACGUGUAGUUAGAGCUUGACACCUGAACUUUGUAGCUUAGUUAGUUAGAGCACUGGACCAGAAUCGCAGAGACACAGGUUUCAUUCCUGCUAGAUGGCCUAUAGAUGCAUUUAAAUAGAGAGAUUUAUGCCCGUAUUCUAAAAGCUCACUCACACUCGAUAAGUGGAGGUUCAAUCUGAGCUUCUCUUGAGUGUCAAUGCUGUUUUGGAAUAGGGAAAGUAAGUAGUCACUGAGUACGAGGUGACACUAGCCCUCCAGCUGUUCAAAAAUAACAUUGACACUCAAGGCAAGCUGAGAUUGAACCUCCACUUACUGAGUGUCAGGCCUUAAAAUAUCGGUCGGUCACGGACAUUGUCCGACCCAUUCGUGAAAUUGUCCGACGUAGAGAGGAAACCACCGGACAUUCUGUCCGACUCCAGUGAAACUGAGGUUUAUUGUUUGUCCGACCCGAGUGUAUUGGUGUCCGACCGAACUGUAGCUUUGUCCGACGUAAAUCAAAAUGUACCCUAGUCCAGGACUAGAGGCUUGUAUGUUAAAUGGAAAAUCAGAGUACUAUUGUAUAAAAGGUGAACUGGAAAUGUUGUUUUAAAGUAGGCGAGCGCGUGGCGGCGAGCGAAAUGGUGAAGUGGAAAACGGGCUUAAGUUGUCGAAGUCUUUUUUAAUACUGCUGUUCUGGCAAGCAAGUUGAUUUUGGCUUGGAAACAAGUAUGAAAGAAACAAAUUAUUUAAUAUCUUUACAACAUUUACCGUUUAUUCAUUUGUGUCAUUCAGACUUAUUUCAGAGUCACAACUGAACUGAAGGUCAUCGGACAUAUGUCCGACCCAAACUCAACGUCACCGGACAUUUUGUCAGACGGCCCUGGAAAAGAUAUUUUAAGGCCUGUGAGUGUGAGUGAGCUUUUAGAAUACAGGUUAUACAGGUAUUAAAUGGUGCACUGCCAGGACAAUUUGCCUCUUUUGUUCAUAGAGAUGUGGAUUCAUUUGAGCAUAAAAGGCAAAUAUUGCAGUAACAAUAUCCACAGCAAUAAAGAGUACUUGUAUUGAGUAUUAAUAUUAUUAUGAUUAUAUAGUGAUUUGAUGCAGGUUGAUGGUCAAGUGUACAAAGUCAUUUUUCUGGAAAAAGCAACCAUCACUGAGUGCAAUAUAAAAAUUAAGCAAUAUUCCAGUGACAUGUAUCACAAGAGAUAUCUGUUGAAGAGGGCUUGGAUUGGUUUAUUGCCUUUCUCACCUUCAAGUGAUUUGCAACCUGUCAUGGAGAAAGUUUUUGGAUAUUUUACAUGUAUAUAAAAAAAAUAAUAAUUGUAAUAGAUGCUUUCUCUGCAGAGCAACUAAUAAAAGAUGAUGCUUUGGGGCUUAUUUCUGCCUACUGGAGCUGUAAUAAUAUCAUAUUCAACAAUUUAAUAAAUUAAAAAUUCAAUAAUAAUUUUAAUAAUAAUAAAUUUCAUCAUAAUUUUAUUACAAUAAAUACAUUUAUUAUUAUGUAUUAAAUUAACAAUAUUAACCUCCAAAUUUUAUUCUAUUCCUGUUCACAUGUGCCUGCCUGGAGUGUUCGUGUUGAAAUUGUUGCUUCAGUUUUCACAUACUAAUCAGAAUUAGAUGCUGUACCUUGUGAAUGUUCUAACGCAAACUAGUUCGAACAAGUAACAUUUGAAUAUAAACUAGAAUAUCGGUGUUCCCGGAAGUCCAACAACAAGCCAUUGUUGGGUGGUGAUCAGGUGAAUCUUGUUUGAAAAUAUUACAAACAUGACACUAUGCAGACUGCAGUUCGGCCAUUUCCUGACUUGACGAAAUAAAUGAACAGCAAAAUUAUGUACAUCCAUGUUGUCCAAUAUGUCUUUUGCCUGAACUUUGUCACUCACAAAUACCACUUUCACCAAAUUCUUCAAAUAUGACCUUGUUUAAUUAUAUAUUUUCUUGACAACUGUCCCUGUAUAUGCCUGUAUGACACCAUUUAAAUUUUCUGCCACAGGUAAAACAUUUCAAUUCCUAAACAUCAAACAAAAAUUAUAAAAUCAAAAUUGUUGGCAAGUACAUAACAGAUCUAUAUUUUGAUCUAUAAAUUCGCAAAGCUCGCAAAUAUUCAAAUGUUCUUGUUAACACAGGUGAAUACAUGCAUUUCAAUAGUGCAUUGAUAAAUAUCAUUACUAUAUUUACCAUGUAUUUAGUUAAUAUUCUACAUUUAUACAGCAGAGGUAUCCCAGGAUAUCGAUAAAUAAAUUCUCACCUUCUAUAUUUAAAAAUAUUUCUCACCGAUUUCUUGUUUUUUUG